CCUGUCUACCACUACAACCCACUAUCAGCCUGUCUACCAGUACAACCCACUAUCAGCCUGUCUACCAGUACAACCCACUAUUAGCCUGUCUACCACUACAUUCUACUAUCAGCCUGUCUACCACUACAUUCCACUAUCAGCCUGUCUACCACUAGAACCCACUAUCAGCCUGUCUACCACUAGAACCCACUAUCAGCCUGUCUACCACUACAACCCACUAUCAGCCUGUCUACCAGUACAACCCACUAUCAGCCUGUCUACCAGUACAACCCACUAUCAGCCUGUCUACCAGUACAACUCACUAUCAGCCUGUCUACCACUACAACCCACUAUCAGCCUGUCUACCAGUACAACCCACUAUCAGCCCGUGUACCACUACAACCCACUAUCAGCCCGUCUACCACUACAACCCACUAUCAGCCUGUCUACCACUACAACCCACUAUCAGCCUGUCUACCACUACAACCCACUAUCAGCCUGUCUACCACUACAACCCACUAUCAGCCUGUCUGCCACUACAAACCACUAUCAGCCUGUCUACCACUACAACCCACUAUCAGCCUGUCUACCACUACAACCCACUAUCAGCCUGUCUACCACUACAACCCACUAUCAGCCUGUCUACCAGUACAACCCACUAUCAGCCUGUCUACCAGUACAACCCACUAUCAGCCUGUCUACCAGUACAACCCACUAUCAGCCCGUCUACCAGUACAACCCACUAUCAGCCCGUCUACCAGUACAACCCACUAUCACCCUGUCUACCACUACAACCCACUAUCACCCUGUCUACCACUACAACCCACUAUCAGCCUGUCUACCACUACAACCCACUAUCAGCCUGUCUACCACUACAACCCACUAUCAGCCCAUUCCUUUCCAGGGGGAAAGAUGAAGAAAGAGGAGAAGUUUGAGAAGAAGGCAGGAGCAACCCUGAAGGAGGAGAAGAAAGGAGGGAGUGUCAAAGAGAAGGAGGAGAAGAAGGGAGCAGCCAAGCCUGCUGUGAAGGAGAAACCAGUGGAGGUGGAGCGUCCGGGCAGUAAGAAGAAGGGUCGUGAGGAGGUCGUGGUAGGGGGCAAGCGUCCUGGAGGUAAACCUGGUAAAGAACCAGGCAGAGAGCCCUCCUCCACCACAACCAGCCCUGAGAGUGACUACCAGGACCACCACACUGACUCUACUGUAGAGCCUGAACUACAGGACAAAUACAGGAGACAGCUGCACCAACAGGCUAGUACACUAUACUAUACUAUACUAUACUAUACUAUACUAUACUAUACUAUACUAUACUAUACUAACAGGACCACUAAACGGUCUCUACUGUACAUCAUGCUAUACUAUAGACACUACUAGUGUAAUAUUAGUACUUUUGUAAUAACCAUAAUCCUUUAUCCGAAAUCGCUUACUAACACUGCUGUUAUCUCCCCCCCUCUCUCUCUCUGUCGCUCUCUCCCUUUCUCCCUCUCUUCCUUCCUCUCUCUCUCUCUGUCGCUCUCUCUCUCUCUUCCUUUCUCUCUCUCUCUCUCUCUCUCUGUCGCUCUCUCUCCCCCUUCUCUCUCUUCCUUUAUCUCUCUCUCUGUCGCUCUCUCUCUCCCCUCUCUCUCUCUCUCUUUCUGUGUCUCUCUUUCUCUGUCUGUCUUUCUCUUCCAGGUGUAUAUUCUAAUGGAAGGCUUAGUGGACUCUGUGUGUGCUGUUGGAUGAGUCUGCAGAGGGAAAGGCCUGAGCUGAGACACACACACACACACACACACACAGCUCUCUGAUCACACUAUAAUAAAUUCCACUCUUCCCUAACACACACAUUUGUACAGAGAAUCCAUCACAGGUGCAGAGGUUUAUUUCCUCACUAUGACGUCAAUAAACUUGCUUUGUGAACUUACUAUCUUUGUUUACUUCCUAUGACUGUGAGAUGUGGUUGUCAUACAUAGCUACUUCACUCACACGCUGAUUCUGCAUCGGAGGAGCAUGGGUUAAACGCUGACUGCAUGCUACCCACUACCCAGUAUCCACCCUCAUCCCGCCCCCUCGCUCUCCCUCUCACAGCUGUGUGUACGAGUACCUGCCAUGCGUGCGUGUGUGAGUGGGCGCGUGAGUGUGCCAUGCCGUUGGUUGUCCAAUGCGGAUUUCACAGUUGCUGCCCGCCUCGUGUCUCGCAACUUCACCCGAAAAGGAACAGACUACGAGUCCCUUCGGAAUUCCACUGCCGUUCCACGCACGGGGCUGAAGCAUGGCAUUCUGCUUGUCUGUCCUCAUUCGGGAAUAGCCUACCGAUAGCUCCCUUACUCGCUGCCUCUGUGCUACGGUUCAGUGCUGCUGAUACCGGUGGUUUAGUACUGCUGGGGGAAUACCGACACUGCAGAGAGAGGGAAGGAGCGGAGAGGAGGAUGGUGCCUGGUGUAGGAGGAGGGAGGUGAUCAUGGCAGAGGUAAGCGGAACGGACAGAAUGCGGUAAACUAAACACAUAGGACACCUGGGUUUUUAGGCUACCGCGACAUAAAAAAGAAAACAAAAUACUGCGAUUUUUAAACAUAGCCAAAGUUUUUUAUUACUGAAACUUGGAUGAUUUCGAUAGGCUAUUAGUUCGUUUGACA
rnacentral:lncRNA from 8 species